rnacentral:misc_RNA from 1 species
UCAAACUUGGUCAUUUAGAGGAAGUAAAAGUCGUAACAAGGUCUCCGUUGGUGAACCAGCGGAGGGAUCAUUACUGAGUUUACUGCUCAUAACCCUUUGUGAACCUACCUAAAUCGUUGCUUCGGCGGGCGCUUCUCACCAUGGUGAGAUGCCCUGGCCCCUACGGGUGCCCGCCGGAGGUAUACAAACUCUUGUUUUGGCGAUGUCUCUUCUGAGUGGCAUAAGCAAAAAUAAAUUAAAACUUUUAACAACGGAUCUCUUGGUUCUGGCAUCGAUGAAGAACGCAGC